GAUAAACGCUGGCGGCGUGCUUAACACAUGCAAGUCGAACGAAGUUUCUCUUUCGGGAGGAACUUAGUGGCGGACGGGUGAGUAACGCGUGGGUAACCUGCCCUGUACAGGGGGACAACAGCUGGAAACGGCUGCUAAUACCGCAUAAGCCCUUAGCACUGCAUGGUGCAUAGGGAAAAGGAGCAAUCCGGUACAGGAUGGACCCGCGUCUGAUUAGCCAGUUGGCAGGGUAACGGCCUACCAAAGCGACGAUCAGUAGCCGAUCUGAGAGGAUGUACGGCCACAUUGGGACUGAGACACGGCCCAGACUCCUACGGGAGGCAGCAGUGGGGAAUAUUGCACAAUGGAGGAAACUCUGAUGCAGCGACGCCGCGUGAGUGAAGAAGUAUUUCGGUAUGUAAAGCUCUAUCAGCAGGGAAGAAAAUGACGG
rnacentral:rRNA from 1 species